rnacentral:rRNA from 1 species
UGGGGAAUUUUGGACAAUGGGGGAAACCCUGAUCCAGCCAUCCCGCGUGUGCGAUGAAGGCCUUCGGGUUGUAAAGCACUUUUGGCAGGAAAGAAACGUCGCGGGUUAAUACCCCGCGAAACUGACGGUACCUGCAGAAUAAGCACCGGCUAACUACGUGCCAGCAGCCGCGGUAAUACGUAGGGUGCAAGCGUUAAUCGGAAUUACUGGGCGUAAAGCGUGCGCAGGCGGUUCGGAAAGAAAGAUGUGAAAUCCCAGAGCUUAACUUUGGAACUGCAUUUUUAACUACCGGGCUAGAGUGUGUCAGAGGGAGGUGGAAUUCCGCGUGUAGCAGUGAAAUGCGUAGAUAUGCGGAGGAACACCGAUGGCGAAGGCAGCCUCCUGGGAUAACACUGACGCUCAUGCACGAAAGCGUGGGGAGCAAACAGGAUUAGAUACCCUGGUAGUCCACGCCCUAAACGAUGUCAACUAGCUGUUGGGGCCUUCGGGCCUUGGUAGCGCAGCUAACGCGUGAAGUUGACCGCCUGGGGAGUNCGGUCGC